GGAGUUAGCCGGUGCUUCUUCUGUGAGUGAUGUCCUUCCUGCCGGUUAUUGACCCGCAGGCCUUCUUCCUCACUGAAAGUGCUUUACAACCCGAAGGCCUUCUUCACACACGCGGCAUGGCUGGAUCAGGGUUGCCCCCAUUGUCCAAUAUUCCCCACUGCUGCCUCCCGUAGGAGUCUGGGCCGUGUCUCAGUCCCAGUGUGGCUGAUCAUCCUCUCAGACCAGCUACGGAUCGUCGCCUUGGUGAGCCGUUACCUCACCAACCAGCUAAUCCGACAUAGGCUCAUCCGAUAGCGCGAGGCCCGAAGGUCCCCCGCUUUCCCCCGUAGGGCGUAUGCGGUAUUAGCCUGGGUUUCCCCAGGUUAUCCCCCACUACCGGGCAGAUUCCUAUGCAUUACUCACCCGUCCGCCGCUCGCCACCAGGGAGCAAGCUCCCCGUGCUGCCGCUCGACUUGCAUGUGUUAGGCCUGCCGCCAGCGUUCAAUCUGAGCCAGNGANACACUNACACUGCGGCGCGUCGACGACGGCGACAG
rnacentral:rRNA from 1 species